rnacentral:rRNA from 1 species
GUCUACAGCCAAGCCACCCUGAACGAGCCUGAUCCCAUCUGAUCUCAGAAGCUAAGCAGGGUGGGGCCUGAUUAGUACUUGGAUGGGAGACCACCUAGGCACUUGCUGUAGGCA